CCUACGGGUGGCAGCAGUGAGGAAUAUUGGUCAAUGGACGAGAGUCUGAACCAGCCAAGUAGCGUGAAGGAUGACUGCCCUAUGGGUUGUAAACUUCUUUUAUAUGGGAAUAAAAUGCUCCACGUGUGGGAUUUUGUAUGUACCUUAUGAAUAAGGAUCGGCUAACUCCGUGCCAGCAGCCGCGGUAAUACGGAGGAUCCGAGCGUUAUCCGGAUUUAUUGGGUUUAAAGGGAGCGUAGGUGGAUUGUUAAGUCAGUUGUGAAAGUUUGCGGCUCAACCGUAAAAUUGCAGUUGAAACUGGCAGUCUGGAGUACAGUAGAGGUGGGCGGAAUUCGUGGUGUAGCGGUGAAAUGCUUAGAUAUCACGAAGAACUCCGAUUGCGAAGGCAGCUCACUGGACUGCAACUGACACUGAGGCUCGAAAGUGUGGGUAUCAAACAGGAUUAGAUACCCCAGUAGUC
rnacentral:rRNA from 1 species